rnacentral:misc_RNA from 1 species
GGAUGAAGAACGAAGCGAAAUGCGAUAAGUAGUGUGAAUUGCAGAAUUCAGUGAAUCAUCGAAUCUUUGAACGCACAUUGCGCCCCUUGGUAUUCCAUGGGGCAUGCCUGUUCGAGCGUCAUUUGUACCUUCAAGCUCUGCUUGGUGUUGGGUGUUUGUCUCGCCUCUGCGUGUAGACUCGCCUCAAAACAAUUGGCAGCCGGCGUAUUGAUUUCGGAGCGCAGUACAUCUCGCGCUUUGCACUCAUAACGACGACGUCCAAAAGUACAUUUUUACACUCUUGACCUCGGAUCAGGUAGGGAUACCCGCUGAACUUAAGCAUAUCAAUAAGCGGAGGA